rnacentral:rRNA from 1 species
UACGAAGGGUGCAAGCGUUAAUCGGAAUUACCGGGCGUAAAGGGUGCGUAGGCGGUUGUUUAAGUCUGUCGUGAAAUCCCCGGGCUCAACCUGGGAAUGGCGAUGGAAACUGGGCAGCUAGAGUGUGUCAGAGGAUGGUGGAAUUCCCGGUGUAGCGGUGAAAUGCGUAGAGAUCGGGAGGAACAUCAGUGGCGAAGGCGGCCAUCUGGGACAACACUGACGCUGAAGCACGAAAGCGUGGGGAGCAAACAGG